CAAGCAUACUCCCUUGAAAUUGCUUUGAUGUUUGCGGCUCGAUGAACUUCCAUCUGUUUUAUACUUCCAUGGUGUUACCUUAGCUGGUUUUAUUUGAUACAGAUUCUGUAAUAAUUGAAGAUUAAAAUAUUUCAUAUGUUUUAUCACCGGAAACACAUGUACAACUAUAUAGCUACAAAAGCAUUAGAAACUAUAUAGCUUCAAAUGUAUUUGCAACUAUAUAGCUACAAACUGCUGAAUUAACAACAACAACUUUAGUAUCACAACAUGUCACCUAAAACAGGUUUUUAUGACUAUGUACGAUCACAGAACACCGCGAAAAACAUUUAUCCAUGAAGUUCCCACCUUUUUCGUUACCAAUGUCACUCAUCCGGCCAGACUAUGCAUCGAACCUCGUACUAUAUUGGUUUAACUUUAAACACAGCCUCGCGGCUACUAUAUAUGUUCAAGUUAGAAUUAAAGAAAAGAAGCAAGCAACUACCAGUGAAAAUUGAUAAUUAAAAAAGAUAAUUGUAUAAAAUCUUUUUUAAUUUUAUGCGUUUAACAAGAAUGUUUAAUGGAUUUUUUUUUUUCGAUAUUAGUUUUGUAUUUUCAUUUAUUAUAAAUGUAAAAUAUUUGGAUCAUAGAA